rnacentral:lncRNA from 1 species
AUCCCAUCUUUCCGUCUUUAUCUCUCUAAAAAUCGCCAAUUUCCCCUCUCUCUCUCUCUCUAAAAUAUUGUUUAUUAUUUAUUUAAUAAAUAAUAAUAAGGUUCUGCCCCGUUUUAAGUGUUAUAACUCCCAAUCACCGCUACCCUUUCCGAUUGAUCUGAGCCCCAUAACGCAUGUCAAGGCUCUGCCCGACUAAGUUCGUUUGGGUUCUGUCUCGGGACAUCGGGACAAGGUUGAAUUAGGGGUAUUAUACUUAACACGAGUGCAUUAUAUAUUUUUAGUAGCCCAAACGUUAUACCCAAAAUUUAUACCAGGAGUCCUUCUAGUUGAACCCUAAAGUUACCCAGUGGGUCCAUUCCUUUCUCUCACCAUUUUAUUCUCUUUUUGUAAGUUACCCAAAACUAUUAUUUAUUAUUUAUUAUUUCUAUUUUGUAAACAAACUUUCAUCAAAAGUCAUGCCUAUUAUUUUAUUUACCCAAUAGGGAACCAUAGUUGAAACACCCAAGUAAUCCUGCACAACUCCUAAAAUUUUCAUAACAAUCAGAAUCAGGAUUAGGGCCCCUAAAACUCAGAGGGGGACAAUUCCCAUUCGAUAUUAUCUCCAAAUCUCGUUGUCAAAAUUAAAAUUUAUUAUUCUGUCAACUCAGCAGAGCUACCCCGAAACGUGUUCACCCUACCCUACUUUUGUUACCCGUCGCGCCACGCGACAGGAUCAGUAGUCCCUGUCGCGACACGCGAGGGAGUACAUUUUCCGGAUAUAAAUAGGGGGCAGUGGCACUUGAAUUUUGCUGGAAGUUCGACGUUAAAACUCGAAUUAUACACUGAGUUAUAGCAGAAAUCGUUCACACACCCACUAAUAUCGAAUCGCUGCCGCAGAACAGGGUAAUUACUCGAUCGCUAUUACGAUUCAUUUUCCGGAAUCAAUAUAUCCAAAGAAUGUCUAAGUGCCGCCCAUAUUGGGUUAUGCUUUGUCGUUUGUCGAUAAUUCGAUAAAUGAGUUGAAGCAUUAUACUUUGUCGUUUGUCGAUAAUUCGAUAAAUGAGUUGAAGUAUUAUACUUUGUCGUUUGUCGUUAAUACGAUAAAUGAGUUGAAGUAUUGCACUUUGUCAUUCAUUGUGAGAAUUUGAUCUCGUGAGUUAUCGUAAAAGCUGUAUUGAUCAUUAACCCGGCUUUGUGUGCAUCCUUUCCUAAAUUAGGAUUAUUAGUCUUAAUACACUUACAAUCAAAGUAGAUGCUAAUUCUCAGAAGAAUCUGAACCAUGAAGCUUGUUAAUUCAAAUACUGCAUGCUGAUUUCCGGUAUGUGGGGUAUUGUGCACAGUAUUACUAUUGUUUUAAUCACAUUAGGUGGGCGAGCCUAAAAGUAAGUGAUAUACGUCACUCAUUGGGACAGCCAAUGGUGAUAUGACCACAGUCACAGAGCUGGUCUGUGACAAAUACCUAUUCUUGAAAGUUGGUUGAUAAUAAACAUAUGUAAAAACCCUUAAUACUGUAAAUUAUAACAAAUGUGUCGUUUUCAGUAAAAUGAAUGAACUCACUCAGUAUUUCCCGCUGAUAAAAUCUUUUUAAAACGCGUUUCAGGUAAUUACAGUAGAUUGGAGUAAGGAUUGGAUCCGACACUGAAGGACUUCAAGAAGUGGCUUAUUUUCAAAUUAAGAAAUAUAGUUUUUAUUAAAAGCUACAUUUGUAAAACAUGGAAUUUAUUCCAUCCAUUUAAAUAAAAUCCGGUGU